rnacentral:misc_RNA from 1 species
GAUGAAGAACGUAGCGAAACGCGAUAAGUAAUGUGAAUUGCAGAAUUCAGUGAAUCAUCGAAUCUUUGAACGCACAUUGCGCCCGCCAGUAUUCUGGCGGGCAUGCCUGUCCGAGCGUCAUUUCAACCCUCAAGCCCCCGGGCUUGGUGUUGGAGAUCGGCGAGCCCCCCGGGGCGCGCCGUCUCCCAAAUAUAGUGGCGGUCCCGCUGUAGCUUCCUCUGCGUAGUAGCACACCUCGCACUGGGAAACAGCGUGGCCACGCCGUAAAACCCCCCACUUCUGAAAGGUUGACCUCGGAUCAGGUAGGAAUACCCGCUGAACUUAAGCAUAUCAAUAAGCGGAGGA